ACGGGGCGGCGGCUUACCAUGCAAGUCGAGCGGUAGCAGGGAGAAAGCUUGCUUUCUCCGCUGACGAGCGGCGGACGGGUGAGUAAUGUCUGGGGAUCUGCCUGAUGGAGGGGGAUAACUACUGGAAACGGUAGCUAAUACCGCAUAACGUCGCAAGACCAAAGUGGGGGACCUUCGGGCCUCAUGCCCUCAGAUGAACCCAGAUGGGAUUAGCUAGUAGGUGAGGUAAUGGCUCACCUAGGCGACGAUCCCUAGCUGGUCUGAGAGGAUGACCAGCCACACUGGAACUGAGACACGGUCCAGACUCCUACGGGAGGCAGCAGUGGGGAAUAUUGCACAAUGGGCGCAAGCCUGAUGCACCCAUGCCGCGUGUAUGAAAAAGGCCUUCGGGUUGUAAAGUACUUUCAGUAGGGAGGAAGGUGUGCGUGUUAAUAGCACGUGCAAUUGACGUUACCUACAGAAGAAGCACCGGCUAACUCCGUGCCAGCAGCCGCGGUAAUACGGAGGGUGCAAGCGUUAAUCGGAAUUACUGGGCGUAAAGCGCACGCAGGCGGUUUGUUAAGUUGGAUGUGAAAUCCCCGGGCUUAACCUGGGAACUGCAUCCAAGACUGGCAAGCUAGAGUCUCGUAGAGGGAGGUAGAAUUCCAUGUGUAGCGGUGAAAUGCGUAGAGAUCUGGAAGAAUACCGGUGGCGAACGCGGUCUCCUGGACGAAGACUGACGCUCAUGUGCGAAAGCGUGGGGAGCAAACAGGAUUAUAUACUCUGAUACUCCACGCUGUAAACGAUGUCGAUUUGGAGGUUGUGCCCUUGACGCGUGCUCUCCGAAGCUAACGCGUUAAAUCGACCGCCUUGGUGAGUACGCCGUACGGUUACAUCUCAUAUGAAUUUGACGGUGGCUCGUACUAGUCUGUAGAACAUGUGUUUAUUCGAUGCCACCGAGAAAUAACUUUACCUACUC
rnacentral:rRNA from 1 species